AGCGUAGGUCGGAUUAGCUAGUUGGUGAGGUAUGGCUCACCAAGGCGACGAUCCGUAACUGGUCUGAGAGGAUGAUCAGUCACACUGGAACUGAGACACGGUCCAGACUCCUACGGGAGGCAGCAGUGGGGAAUAUUGGACAAUGGGCGAAAGCCUGAUCCAGCCAUGCCGCGUGUGUGAAGAAGGUCUUCGGAUUGUAAAGCACUUUAAGUUGGGAGGAAGGGCAUUAACCUAAUACGUUAGUGUUUUGACGUUACCGACAG
rnacentral:rRNA from 1 species